UUUUGGGUUUUUUUACAGACUCCUGGAGAAUCCUGAAGUCUAUGCAGAGACCAAAGGGAUCAUCCCUCUGCUGAGUAAAGAGUUAAGAUGUUCAAAGACAAAGGGCUUCAAGGUGAUGUUGAUUCUGCAUGAAGGUAAAGGGCUUCAGCAUGUGGUCACUGUUGGUAUGAGAGGAGGAGAAGGCUACCAGCAUGGUGAAAAAAGAUACUACAAAUAAGAGGACGACCCGCAGGACAAAAGACCUUGAACUGAAACGUGAAGAUUCAAACCUAGAACACUUGAAUAUAAGCUAUGUAGAACAAGAUUCCUGGGAACCUUUGUGUUAAGACACCAACAUUUGAUUGCAUCCUGUGAGAAGAAUAGUUUUUACACACAGCUGAAGAAAAGAGUCAUUAUUUAAAUUAUAAAAUAUUCUAUUUCACGCCAUUUUCAUCUUGAUAGACAUUAAUGUAACUUUCUUUUGCCAAGCUGAAGAUAAACAGUUUGUCUUGCAGUCUCAUUCCAAAAUAGAGAAAUGACUCUAAGUGCCUCACCCCUAAAAGGAACAGUAUGUGAUGAAACAGAAUAUGCCUGAACUUCUAUUU
rnacentral:lncRNA from 14 species